rnacentral:rRNA from 1 species
GACGAACGCUGGCGGCGUGCUUAACACAUGCAAGUCGAACGGAAAGGCCCUGCUUUUGUGGGGUGCUCGAGUGGCGAACUGGUGAGUAACACGUGAGUAACCUGCCCUUGACCGUGGGAUAAGUUCAGGAAACUGGGGCUCAUACCGGAUAGGAGCUCCUGCUGAAUGGUGGGGGUUGGAAGGGUUAGGCGGUUGGGGAUGGACUCGCGGCUUAUGAGAUUGUUGGUGGGGUAGUGGCUUACCAAUGCUUUGACGGGUAGCCGGCCUGAGAGGGUGACGGGGCACAUUGGGACUGAGAUACGGCCCAGACUCCUACGUGAGGGAGAAGUGGAAAAUAUUGCACAAUGGGCGUGAGCCUGAUGCAGAAACGGCGCUUGCGGGAUGACGGCCUUCGGGUUGUGAACCGCUUUCGCCUGUGACGGAGAGUGAGUGACGGUAAUGGGUAGAGAAACAACGGCUGACUACGUG